UUCCUGAAAAUAAAAACUCAUAUUAUCUUGAAGACAUAUGAUGGCCUAAAAAAAUGCACAAAAGGAUUAAGCUGAGGCAA
ensembl:snoRNA SNORD115 Small nucleolar RNA SNORD115